rnacentral:rRNA from 1 species
UACGGAGGAGGCAAGCGUUAUCCGGAAUUAUUGGGCGUAAAGCGUCCGCAGGUGGCACUUCAAGUCUGUCGUCAAAGACUGGGGCUUAACCCUGGAAAGGCGGUGGAAACUGAAGCGCUAGAGUGUGGUAGGGGUAGAGGGAAUUCCCGGUGUAGCGGUGAAAUGCGUAGAGAUCGGGAGGAACAUCAGUGGCGAAGGCGGCCAUCUGGGACAACACUGACGCUGAAGCA